UGCUUUGGCCAGGUUACUCGAUUCGGGAGCCUCAAACACGGGCUCUGUAUUAUCUACGCGCACUAGGAUAUCCGCACUGAACUCACGAUACUGAUCCACCCACUGGCCGAUGACCUGAACUCUGACCUCACUCAAGGGAUCCAUACUGCGUCCAAAAUAGGCCUUUUCGUCCACCUGUAGACCACCAAUGCCAUUUGCAUCCAGUUCCAGCACUGAACCACGAUGUUCCAGGAGCAAUGGGAGCUUUUCCAGAGUCUCAUCCACCUGAUAGAUGCUGCUCACAUUCAGGCGUAACUUCUCCACAAAGGAAUAAUUGAUGCUGCCAUAAAUGGGUUUACGUUCAUGACCGGGAUUCUUGAGGACACUACUGCCCAGAUUCAUUUUAUAGCUAUUGGUGGUAUUACGCCAAGGCAUAUAGGUGAUGUUCCUCAGUUGAUACAUCAGUGGCUCCAAUUCCACCAGUACAUUGAUAUUAUCCUCCACGCCAUACUGAAAGAAAGAGCCAAGAACUUCUUUAGAAGCAAUUUGAAUGAGUUUUUUUUUAAAUAACUUACAAAAUUAUCACCAAAAAUCAUGACCACACAUGUAAAGAGACCAUCGACCACUUUAUUGACCAAAUCUGUGUGCCUAAAAUGACACAAUUCCGUUUUUUCCCUCUCCACAUUGGUGGCCUUGGCUAUGUAGGUGAGACGCUCCUUGGGAUUCAGUUCGCGGGCAUAGUGCUCCAAGACCAUUUGAUAGGGAACCCAGGCAAGAACAGAUUUCGCUUGAUUUUCGCAUAUAUCUUCUUGACUGCCACGCCCACUGAGUUCUCCAUUGCGGAGCCUUAAAUAAUGAUGAUUGUCCUGUUUCACCGUCAAUGAGCCAUGAUCUGCACACAUGGUAUCAAUGAAACUCGCCUAAAGGAGGAAGUUACAGCAUGGAUUAAUCAAUUGAUGGCUAAUAAAUAAUAAAAGUAUAUAAAUUAAUAUAUAUCUAUAUAUGCGCACACUAAUUCAAUUGCAAAUAUCAGAGACAAUAUUCUGAAGAGGCGUGUGGAGUGGAGGGUUUGGAUUAUUGAUGAAUUAUUGAUGAAAUGAAAGGGUCAAGCAUAUGAAUUUAGCGACCUCGCAAAUGCAUUUUGUUAUUUGUGACUUUGAAGUGUUCAUUUAAGGAUUUAGAUGAAUGAGAACCAGUUUUGAUCCAACCAUAUAUGGUUACUAUAUAUAUCUAUGUAUCUAUUUCCUUCACCUUUUC